UACAGAGGUGGCAAGCGUUGUUAGGAAUUACUGGGCGUAAAGGGCGCGUAGGCGGCCUUCUAAGUCAGACGUGAAAUCCCCCGGCUUAACCUGGGAACUGCGUCUGAUACUGGGAGGCUUGAGUAUGGGAGAGGGAUGUAGAAUUCCAGGUGUAGCGGUGAAAUGCGUAGAUAUCUGGAGGAAUACCGGUGGCGAAGGCGGCAUCCUGGACCAUAACUGACGCUGAGGCGCGAAAGCUAGGGGAGCAAACGGG
rnacentral:rRNA from 1 species